rnacentral:misc_RNA from 1 species
GAUGAAGAACGGAGCGAAAUGCGAUAAGUAAUGUGAAUUGCAGAAUUCAGUGAAUCAUCGAAUCUUUGAACGCACAUUGCGCCCGCCAGUAUUCUGGCGGGCAUGCCUGUUCGAGCGUCAUUUCAACCAUCAAGCCCCAGGCUUGUGUUGGGGACCUGCGGCUGCCGCAGGCCCUGAAAACCAGUGGCGGGCUCGCUGUCACACCGGGCGUAGUAGAUUUUAUCUCGCUCAGGGCGUGCUGCGGGUCCCGGCCGUUAAAAGCCUUUUUUUACCCAAGGUUGACCUCGGAUCAGGCAGGAAGACCCGCUGAACUUAAGCAUAUCAAUAAGCGGAGGA